rnacentral:lncRNA from 1 species
CGCGCCUAGCGUUCAAUUAAAAUAAAUAAGUUAUCAAAAAAAGAUUAAAAGAUCACUUUUAUUGGAUAUUGAAAGAAACCUGAUUGUUAAUCAUUUGGGCCAGCUAAUGGUUCCCUUAAAAAUGGGCCAAUUGAAAUACUCAAUCAGUUUUACAUGAUAUGGGCUUUAUUAGCCAACAGACUGCUGAGAUUUAAUUGGCCCAACUCUCUUCUCAAUUUUUGAAUUCUAGUAACACAAACCAAAUACUUUGAGGCCCACGUCUGAUUUAGCUUUAAAAAGGGGGGAAAAACACAAUUAGCCGCCCAAAUACUUUUGGUUACACCCGUCUAGCCAUAAAUUUUGAUUCACUAUAAAUAGCCGUAAAUAUUUCCAACUGCCGUUAGCAAAUCCAAAUUAAAAAAAAAAAAUUAACCAACCAAAUUUCAAAAUAAAAACUCUUGCCAAUGCCACAAAGCUAUUAUCUCUCAUAGUUACUGAUUUAACCUUAAAUUCAAUCAAAACACUCUACCCAAAAUUCUCUGUUAUUUAAGGAUUCUUCAGAAACCACCACCACUCCAUAAGGCUUUCGCACAAAACAAGUGUUUCUAGCACAAAAAUCACUUUGCCAUUGGUGAAAUGGGUAGAAUGACGUACAAAAAUACCAUGAAAUUUGAAAACCCACGAGAAAUAAUUGGAUUUAGAGUCUCUCUCAAACUUCAAUAUCUAUCAUAAUCUGAAUCCAUUAUACACUAGCUUAUACACAUUAUACACUUAGUAUGCAGUGUAGAAUUGAUGUAUAAUUACUGCAUAAGCCGUGGAUAAUCAAUAUAUAUUUUAUACACUUAUUAUACCAAAUUAUACGCUUAAUAUGCAAAAAAAAAAAAUAAGACCCAUAGCCUCCACCUGUACACGACACUACUUCAAUAAAAAAAAAAAUGCAUCCGCUGUAAUAAUUCAUAAAUAGUAGUAACGCAUAUUUUCAGCACUCACCAUCGAGAAAAAAGAAAAAAAUCCAGUUGCAAACCAGUUGACAGUAGAUAGAGAAAGAGCAAUUGGGUUUGAGGCCGAGAAAAAAGAAAAGAAGAAAUGGGUGAAUGGGAGAAAGGGAAAUAGAGGCGAAAGAGAAAGAAAAAAAAAUAAAGAGAAGCCAUCACUUUUUUGAAGAACGAGGGAGGCGAUGCAGAGCAAGGAGGGGGGUGGGGGUGAGCGCUAGUUUUUUUUGGGGGAAAGUGGGGAUCGGAUAAAAAAAAAGUAAAAGUAGGGGUGGUAAUUGUUUAAAUCGAGUAAUAAAAAUAAAAUGAGGCUAUUAAAAGUUUAUAUCCUAAGUGGGCUGCUAGUCUAGUUAAUUGUUCUUUAAAAAAGGGAAUCUUACAUAAAUGUCUCAAAUAAAUUUCAACUUAUCAACAUCUAGCCAUUAAUCAUAUACUUACCUAAACUAGCCAAACACAUAAAAACAGCAAACCCAAAUUAAUAAGGUUCUUUCUCUCCAAAAAUCGUACGCAAAAGAUCUCCUUCCAUAUUUUUAAGCGUGAUCAGCAAUAUUAGAUGCAAGAUGAAUAAGAAUUCAUGGAUGAGGUAGCAAACAAGGGGAUGAAAUACAAAAAUAUAUUUAUACAAGAUUCAAAAAAAACUAAACAAAAAAUGACAUUUUUCAAUGGGUAUGGUUGAAAUUCAUUGAAAACAUAUAGACGAGUCAUUAUACAAAUAUUGAGGAAGAUUAGAGGUGAUUUGGAUUAUUUGGUAUCAAAAUUUGUAGUUAAAAUCGAAUUUAAAAAAUCUUUUGCGACACAUGUAUCACACACACAGGUAUACAUGGAUAUACGUGUGAUAAACAUUUGAUGCAAAUAUGAUAUAUAUGUGAUACACAAAUGAUAAACAAUAUAAUACACAAAAAAAAAUUCAUGUUUCAUCUUCUACUUCGCAUUUUCAAUUCAAACUACCUCAAAACUCCGCCAAAUCAUCCCAAAAUUGAGAUUCAAACUUUCUUAAGAUGUACUCAAUCCAUUCAAAAGAAAGCAAAACUUUAACCUUCUUUUGUUACAAAUAGCUAAUUGGCUAAUAUUGGUAAUAUUAGUAAUAUUUAAUGAAUCGGCCAAUUGUUGUAAUUAGCUACUUAUAAAUGGACAUAAUUGAUAGUUUCCUUUAAAAAAAAAACAAAUGAUCCAUAUCUCUACCUUUUAAAUGGAUAAGUAAUACUUACUACAAAACUAAAGAAAACUUUAAAAAAAAAACUAGCACCGAGCAAAACACAAUAAUAUUAAUUUUAGGCUAAUAAAUUAAAAUACAUGGAUAGAUCUCCUUUUACUUAACAAAUUGUUACUCCCCAAACUAAACCACCCAACUCAUCUGCUAAAAGAGAAAAUGCAUAUUCACUUACUAAGAUUAUAGACUUGACUAAUUAGUUCACUCCAACACUCAAAAGUCGAACUUAAUGAACUAUGCUAAAAUCUAUUAACCUUCAAACACCUCUUUUUAUAUCGUGCUUACUCUAACUAAUUUAACUUGAACAUUGGUCAAUUUUCGUUUAGCUCUAGUAUCCGAACAGUGAUGGCAUGAGCCUCCCAGAAACACCUAACAGUAGUACAUGCUUAUAAACACCUCCUCUUUCGAGAAUUAGACAAAGAAAUCAUGUCAAAGCAAUAAUGGCUAGUAUAUGAUCUUUUCCGUGACUAAACGAGAUUAACAGAGUGCUUCGACUAACAUUUAAGGAAGAAUAAAAACUUCAAGCUAUCAGUUACAUAUUCACAUACUUGAGCCAUACAUAAAAACGUUAAAGCACUUAAACAAACUCAUAAAAUGAAAUCAAGUGCAUCCCAGCAAUCUAAACAGAUUCAAAUCUUCAGUUAUUGCUAAACAAAAUCUGCAUUACAAGUUUUUAAGAGUUACCUAUAUUGUAGAAAAUCGCAAAUACAGCAAUAAGAACUGAAGGUCAGCAAAAUGAACUGUGUAAAAGGCCUACAAACAGUAACUGACCAGCAGCUUAUGAUCCAAAACUUAACCCAGAAAUUUCAGCAAAAUAAGCAAGGAAAGAACUAGUGAACUGACUUAAGAACCUUUCUUUUGGACAGUUGUUGUUCUCCGAAUACUCACUCAAAAGCCCUCAAAUUUCAGCUUAGUUUUCUUAUGUUCAACUGAUCUUUUUCUCUCUUCUAAGUUGUGUUUUUGCUUAGAGUGUGAGAUGUCUAAGUGUAGAAUGUCUUCCAGUGUGAUGGAGAGUGUCUAAUUGAGUGAGAGGAGACCCCUUUAAGUAGGAAAAACAAGCACCUUUGGACAGAUUUUGGUUGAGCAAAAAUCUAUCCAAAAGACUUACUUUUCACCAAAAAACUGUCCAAGGACUGUCCAAAUAGGAGAAAGGACAAUCUUUUACACUAAAUUCAGACACAAAAGGAGUAGUUGUACUCUUAGCAUGAUUGAAAUAGUAGAAAGAAACUACUAUGUACCUAACUGAUUAAUCCUCUAUCACCCUUCCCUCAUUCUUUCUGCUCAAUUCAAAAUCAUAUAGCCAAACAACUAAAAGACUAUACUUUACCAAUUUGAACAUAUAAGAGCCACAAAAAGACUAACAUGAUUUGCAAAAUACUUAACUAAAUCAGUCAACGAACUAUACUAAAUAGCUAACUUAAGAGAAACAAGUGCUAAUUACAUCAACUAGUUCGAAUUGAUUUAUCACGAUCAAGCAUAUAAUCAAACUACGCUACUAGUUGCAAGCUAACAGAGGUGAGCGGAAAGUACAAUAAAUGAUACAAUUAAAGCUAGAUUACGUUGUUUGAACAAAUUAACACACGAUUAAACUAAAAGCAAAAAUCAUAAACGAAUAAGAACCAAACCAAAAGAAAACGAGACACCACUUCAAUUCUACGCUAAAACUAAAAUACAAAGCAAGAACAGAAGAUAAGAUAAAAAAUAAUUUUUUUAAAAAAAAGGAAAAGGGAAUAGGGAAUACCAUAAGCUCGGUUCUGCAACGAGGCAGCCGACUCGAGCACAUUUUUCUUUGAGAUAAAAUGCCACUGUAAUUUCCUUGGCAGGCGGCCAUUGAAACUAGCAUUUUUAUCUUGAAGAAAAACGUGCCUAGGUCUAGAAGAUGGCUUCGGACAGUCGGGUCAUCUGGUAGUGAAGGUGGUGGGACGGUAGUGGUGGUCGCCGGAGUCCGACGGUAGUGGAUGGACUUUCAGGAUGAAACUAAGGGUAAAGGGUAGACCUCAAAGAGACCUACCCGUUUAUGCUUGUAUCGUAGGGUAAAGAUGGUUCAACCUUGAUGAAACUCAAAAAUAGAAGAAGGCUAGGGCUUCGGAUUUGGGUAGAUCUAUGGAGAUUUGGAGGAUAUGAGGCUUGGAUUCAUGGAGAGGAGGUUGAGAGGAAGAAGUGGUAAAAAUAUAGGGUGGUUUGUACCAACACCGGCAGCGGCUCACGGUGGUGGCAGUGGCUGAGGGAUGGCGGAGCGGCGGCGGCUCAAAGAGUGAGGAGAGAGGAGAAAGGGAGAGUAAAAGGGGAAAUGGGGGUAAAAUUGCAGGGUUUUGGGGGCUUAAAUACCGGAGUGGAGGAUUGAUUUCUAGACAUAGGAUUGGACCAAAAUGGGUGGCUGAGAUUGAAUCUCAGCCACUUAACCAAACAGCGCCAUUUUUGGCACGUCUAGUUGGGGCCUGAUGGCUGGGCGGGUUGGAAGCAAUUGGGCCACUGGUUUGGUCCGAUUUUUGGCCCAUUGUCAAUAAAAAUUCAAUUGGCCCAAUUCUCAUAACUCUAACAAAUGCAAAACUAAAAAGAAAAUCUUCUUGGUAUAUACAACUUAAAGAUGCAAACUAGAAUGCUCAAAUAAAAGAUAAAAGAAAUAUUUUUUGAUAUUUUUAUGAAAUAAAAUGCAAACAAAAAUGCACACAAGUAUGAGAAAAUCAAUUACAACGAAGUUAAGAUUGUUCUAAAAUUAUCUUCUCUUUUUAGGAGAUAAAAGGGGUGCAAAAAUUAGGUAUCCACAAAUUUAAGGUAAUCAAUUUUUUGUCUGAUAAAUCAGUUUUGUGAUCUUUGUAGAUAUUAUUCCAUCCUUGUGAGGUUCAGAAUUUCUUCCCCUUUUACUUCAGAGUGCAUUAUUCUUUUUACUCCUCCUGUGUCAAAAGUAAUAAAUUUAUACUAAAAAUUUAAGCAUCUUAACAUAAAGAGGAAUCCAUUCACAGAAAUUUGGCCUUAGUUCAUUGUCUUCGAUUUUUGAAAGUAUAUGGCGGAGGCACAAGCCGAGCUACCGAUUCGACUGAACCCAGUAGCUUUUGCUUAAACAGUGUAUUUCGUGUUUAAAAUUUAUUAAAUAUGUACAAUUAUUAAUUUAAAAUACAUUCAUCAACAUUUAAAGUCGUCAUUCUAAAAUUCAUACCAUAAGAUUGAAAUCAUGGUUCCACGGUUGUAUAUUAUAGCUAUAGUUAAUCCGUUUUCAAAAGUGCAAUCAAACACUGAUCAAUUUUUUCUUUUAUUUUAUUUAUAUAGAUUCUUUAUUCAACCAAGAAAAGCCCCUCCCCUUAUUUUCCUUCUCUUCCCAUUUCUGAGCCAAUAUGCAUUUGAAGAGGGAAAAAAGAAAAAGGAUAGGGAGGGAGGUUAAUGAAACCUAAAACAACUAACAAGAAAAGAAAAAAUUAGCUCUCUAUUUGUAUACACACACUUGACGACGACAACAACAACAACAACAAUAACAACCAUCACCCAGUAUAAUCCCACUAGUGGGGUAUGGGGAGGGUAGUGUGUACGCAGACCUUACCUCUACCCUGGGAUAGAGAGGUUGUUUUCAAUAGACCCUCGGCAUCCUUCCCUCCAAGAACUCCUACCUUGCUCUUGGGGCGACUCAAACUCACAACCUCUUGGUUGGAAGUGGAGGGCGCUUACCAUCAGAGCAACCCACCUUGUCCAACACUUGACAACAAUUGAUCGAUAAAUUUAUCUUAAGGGUGUUGUCAGACCUCUCUUUUCUUCACUUAAAAACUUUAACUCCCAAUCAUUUUCUCGUCCUAUAUAUAUGUUCUUCACCACUCUUUUCAUCAACUUCAAACACCCAUUUGCUUUUUGCACCCAAUUUCACUUUACCCCUAUUUGUUUUUCCUCUUUGAUGACCAUGACUAUGAGUUCCUAAUCUACUUCUUUCCGAAAGUACAAGGGGGUGAAUUGUAGCCUAUUAAAAAAUUCUAGUCGACUAUGGUAUGCUCUUAGUCGACUGGUGCAGAGACAGACUGCACAAUACUGUUAGUACUUUAAUUCAAUCAAAUAUUAAUCUUAACAAACAGUAAUUGCUUGUAAUAACAUAUGAAAGUAGUAAGGUAAAUGAUACCAGGAAUUUUAUACUGGUUCGGAACCAAUGUGGUAUCCUACUCCAAUCUCCUUGGGUUGCAAGGAUGUUAUCUCUUGAUCUCUUUGUGAUAUGAGUUGUGUACAACUUGUGUGAUUUUCAACGUUUACAAGGUUGGUUUUAACACGCUCACCAACAAUGACUCUUUGAAUUUCACUCGCUCACCAAAGAAACGAAUAAUGACCCAACCUCUAAGGACACACUGCCUCUCCAAUAUUUUUCAGUCUCUCUUCACUCUUUUGUGUACAUAGUAAAUCUACUAAAAGUAAAUUUCAAUGCUUGUUAAGAGUAGAACAAAAAACUUGUAGUUGGAUAGACAAUUAUGUAGAAGGCUGCGUGAAUCAAUCCUUGAGUUUUCCAGUAUUCUUAUAGCCGAUUAUUGUUGUAUAUUGGUCUUUUGAUGCCGACAGUAUGUUACUGAUAUUUGAUUUCAGAAAGGUGUCUCUAAUUCCUUCAAGAAUGAUGGGCUAGAUUAAUUAAUCCAAGGAGUGCUCUUGUUCCAUGCCGAGAUGCUCCAUAUUUGCCGAGAUGCUCCACGCUUUACUUAAGAAAUGAGCACCACUUCAAUUUGUCUCCAUUUGGUGGAGUAGAUUAAUUUAUUCAAUGAGUGCUUUAUGUUGUAUCAAAGAAAGAGACAACAAGCACCACUUCAUUUUGUCUCCAUUUGGUGGGGUAGAUUGAUUUAUUUAAGGAGUGCUUCAUGUUUUAGACAGCACUUCCAGUUGUCUCCCACUAUAUUGUGUUUUCCAUUGCUUUAGUCCUUCAUUCUUAUUUUUGCAUACUUGAGAGAUCGAUCAGUGUUGAUUGACUUUCUUUUUGAGCUUCUUGUCCUUGCCUUAAUUCCUACAAUCAGAGUAGACCACUUUAAAUCUCCCAUUUUACAUAAUCUGCAUACACAUGUAUAACAUUAGUCAAGAUUUCUUUAUGGAUAUUGAUCAUUAUUAAAAUUCUAAACUUAACAAUCUCCCCCUUUUUGAUGAUGACAAUAAUCUAAAAAGAGUUUGACUAAUUUAUGGAUACUUCCCUUUUCUUUUCAAGUGUGCUCUCUAUGUCUUUAAGCUGGUUGUUGAUUUGAAUCUGCACUUGAGAACCUGUAGCUUACCUGCAACUCUUUUUCUUUCUUCUCCCCCUUUGACAUCAAUCAAAAAAAUAAUAAUAAUACUAACUAAGCAACCAUAAAAUUUGCACAGCUAAGCAGUUAUAGCCGACUAAUGCUCACCCCAGACACAACCAAAAGAAAUAGUAUUAAACUGUCACACAAAGCAAAAAGUAUUGUCUUAAGCAUCCUACACAUUCAUUUCCUUCCAAGGAAAUAUUUCAGGGUGUUGAUCACUUUUAGUGCAGAAGCUUUCAUAAGAGGCAUCAAUGUCCUUGGUGAGGUUAGUAAUUCUUUGAUACCAGCAAUGAUGUGUUGUAUCAGUAUCAGCUUGUCUAAAGAAGAGGAUUUGUUGGCUUUAGAUUUAAGUCCCACACGGCUCUGAGUAGGGAUGACUUUUGAUGCUUUGUCCUAUUUAAGCCAAUUUUCCUCAAUUAAGGUAUACUCCAUCAUGGCAAAGGCAGUCUUGACAUAGGUGCUGGAGAUAAUCUUUGAAACAUAGAGAGAUAGGUCUACUUUCAUGACAUUCAGGAUGUGAGAAACUAAUACACUAUAAGGCAUGUUGCUCGUAGAAGAGGUCCCUGAUACUAUUAAGCACGUAUUGACGUACCCAGGCAAACCAGUUUAUAGCUUUACCAUUUACCAAACAAUACAGAACAGAUACAUCUAUGAGAGGCAAAGUACUUAGAGAACCAGUACGGGGUAACAAAGUGGUGGCAAUAAUAUGGGCUAGAACAUGAUAUUCAAACUUCAAGUUCUUAGGACCUAUAUCAGGGGGGUUUUAAACAGAAUAAUUUUUGGCCUCAUCAAAAGAUACUUCAAAAUUUUCUGGCCAGGAUGGUUGCACAAAUAAAUUGCAUCCUAUAAACUUUGUAGCAAAGACUUUUUGUUUAUAAACUGAUAAGAAUCAAGGAUGAAGCGGGUUCCUAAGAUCAUGGUUUCUAAAUUGUAUUUAUCAUUCACAAAAAAUUUGCAUAAAACAUGCGCACAUGCUCUUCAUAGACAGUGUUACCAACAAUAUCAAAUAGGGAGACAAGUUGGCAAUCCAUUGAGUACAAAGUAUAAAAGAUUGUAUUAAAGACUUAAUUGAAGUGCAUCUAAAGUAAUAGGCUAGAUAGACUAGUUACUUCCCUGAAAUGUUCCGUUUAUAUCGAGCUUAUUCUUGCAUGGCUGGUAAAGGCUCCCCCUUAUUCUAAGGAUACCAUAGUCAUGCUCCCCCUGCCUUCAUACACAUUGUCUAUAAACUUUGCAAGUAAAGUUUUAUACCAAUAUAUCUUUCUCCCUCUUUUGUCAUCAUCAAAAGGGUGGAAACAUCUUGCAGAAAUUAUGUAAGUAAGUAUUCAUUUAGUCGAAAGCGUAGUAUAAUCAUUUGAAUGAAGUGUAGCAAAAGAAACUCACGGGACACUUGAUUUUUCCAAAACAUCAUUUAGCAUAUAAGAAGGUGUAAUCGCACAGAGUUACUUGAAAAUCACUAGAUGAUUAAAAAGAUUAAGAACCUUUUGAUAACCUCAAAUGUUAAACUCUCAAAAUUUUGAACAAAAGCUUAAGACCCUUAGAAAGACUACAACGUAUUAAUGCAUAUAGGAGUCAAGAAAUGGUUAUGUGUUCAUAUUACACGACAGUCAAUUUCUUUUUACUAGUGUAGAAUAGAUCUUCAUGAAAUGACUAUUUGACUAUUUCCUUUAAUCAACUACCCUUCACACAUGAAUAAGAGAAUCAUAUUCUAAAGGAUUCACCACUCAACAAGAAAUCAUAUAAUCUUGCUUAUCUAGUCUUAGAACCAUUUUUAAGCACAUAAUAAUUCAUUAGUAACGAGUGAUUCAUCUGACAUUCAGGUCAAUUUUUCUUUUCUUAACGUGAGAAAAUAUCUGCACGCUUACAAUAGCUUCACAUGGAGAAAUAUUCACUCUUGGCUAGAUGAGCCAGUUGAACCUUACACUUAUCUUUUUCAUGGCAUGAGAAUAUUAAAGAUCUCCAAUCCAAUAUUUGUCUUUCUGUCCACUUUGUUGCAUGCAAGGUUUAUAUCGAAGAAUAUCCUACUAGAUCAACUCAAUUAGUUCUUGCAUACAAUAAGACAUAAUUUAGAAGUCAACCAAAAAUCUUUUGUGGCACUAUACCGAUAUUCUAUAGGAUCAGGUAUACCAAAAUAUCUGUUAUAAAAAUGCAAUAGAGAGUCAGUCAUACCUUGAUUCUAUAUUCGAUCGGUGGACUUACUAAUUUUCUCUUUGCUUCACAUUAUUUGGAAUGUGAGGAUAAAGGUUAAUUUUCCAUCAUGCUCAUUUCCAAACCGAUCAUCUUUCAGAGGCUUAAAGCUUGUCAUGCUUUUAGUUAGUAUUAGAUAAAUAUGCUCUUAAAUGCAUAGUUGGAGAGAAAAAUAAUUGUCAAAUGAUAAUGAUGAAAUUCUUUUAAAUGAUAACGAGUCUUGGUCACAAAAAUGUGGUCCAAAAAUGUUUAACUCCAGAGAAAGACGAGAGAGCAAGGUUAUACUAUUUUCAACACAUUAAAAAAAUAUUUCAACAUCCAUACAGAGAUAAUUUACAAACUUGUAAUGUGUACAUUAAAAAUAACAUUCUAACAAAACUCUCCAUGAAGGAACAAACCUUCUUGUUGUGAAACCUUGGGCUACAAUGUAUAUGGAAAUAAAUAAAAGUAAUUAUAGGAAACAUUAAACAUUGUUAUGAAGGAAUUGUACAAAUGCCAAUCUUGUUCUGAAGGAAAAAAAAUCUUUCCUCAAGAAAAGGUUUUGUAAUAAUAUCCGCUAAUUAUUUUUCAGUAUUCACAAAUUCUAGCACAAUAUAUUCUUUAGCAACAUGAUCGGGUAUAAAAUGAUGCUUGAUCUCAAUAUGCUUAGCCCUAGAAUGAUGCACAUAGUUUUUGAUAAAUAAAUUGCACUAGUAUUGUCACACAUAGUAGGAACAGAAUUAAGACAUAAAAAUCAUAAUCUAACAGUUGAUGCAUGAUCCAAAGUACUUGUGUGCAGCAGUUGCCUGCUGCCAAAUAUUCAGCCUCUGUGGUGGAUAAGGCCACACAACUUUGUUUCUUGUUGUGCCAGGAUAUAAGGGAUUUUUCAAGUAAUUGGCACGUUCCACUUGUGCUUUUUCUAUUAAGUUUAUAUCCCGCAAAAUUUGCAUCUAAAAAGCCUUUGAGAUUGAAAUUUUCCAAACUUUCAUAUCAUAAGCCAUAGUCGACUGUCCCUAUCAAAUAUCUGAUAAUACGUUUAACAACAGUCAAAUGAGACUCUUUAGGAGAUGAAUGAUAUCUAGAACAUUUGCAAACACUAAACAUAAUAUCUGAUCGACUAGCUGAAAGAUAGAGUAGUGAGCCAAUCAUACCUCGAUACAUUAUUUUAUCAACAUUCUUACUGUUUUUGUCUUCAUAUAAAGUAGCCGAUGGAUUCAUAGAUGUUCCUAUGACCAAUCUAAUCAACCUUCUUGUUAGAUAUCCAUGAUUGCAGCUCAUUUGCUUGAUAAUAGAUUUUUACAUUUUUUUUUUCAACUUUAUUCAGCAGAUCUUGCAUAGGUAGAAUCCAUCAUUCAUCGCUUAAUGCUUCUUCAUGUCUGUCUAGUUCCACUAGCAUGGAUGUGUUGUUAUCUUGUUUAUUGCUAGCCAUCCACUGAAAGUUCUUCAUCAUUAUUCACAAUUUUCUUAGAAAAGUAUUAGUGUGAAGAAAUCGCGCAUGUUGAGAUUUCUCUACAAUUAAAAUUCUAAAUUUCAUAAAAUUGAAAGUAGUAAUGAAUAAGCAAUAUACCAAGAGUCCUACCAAGACAGUUACAACUAAAGGGAGCAAGAUAACUAAAAAUUAAUUUUUCUUCCUUCCCGUAGCUCAGAUAAGAUCCAAAAAAAAAAUAUUAAGGCACAUAUAAGCCAAUGAUAGCAAUUUAUACAAAAAUGAUGCUUUCAAUUCUGCAUUCAAUUCAGGCGCCAAACCAAAUAUGUGAGAAAUUAUGUAUGAAAAAAAAAUGUCGAACAAAUACUAUAACUCACAUCUAUGAUCAAAUGCAUCAUUUUCUUAUUUAGGAAUAUAACCUAGGCAAAAAUAUCAAUAAAAACAUACACAUGUAUCUUCUAAACUUUUGAGUCAUAGGAAUGGUCAAGUAUCUCCACAUGUGCAUAAGUUAUUUACCUUAAAGUUAAACAACCUUCUUGAAUUUGAAAGAAGUAUUGAUACUCUUUCCAAGAGAAUGAAUAUCAAAAGUAAAUCUCCCUUUUUUAAAAAACAUUUUAACCAUAUGACGACAUAAAAAAUGUAUGUAUGCUUGUUUAUCCUAAUGUCGAUACAAAUGGCAUGGUUCAUGCAAGACAUACAUUCAUGCUAUUUAAAAUCUCUAAGUCAAGGAUAAAAAUAACACCAAAUAGAAUUAUAGAAUAAUGCAGCUAGUUGACUCAAGCAAUAUAUACUUAUUAUAUUGCACAAAAAAAUAACUAGAUACGCAUCAUUUUAUAAUUCAUCAAACGAAACUUGGAUAAACUUUAAUGAUACCAGUCACUCAAGUUUCACCAGCACGUGUAAUGGUUCCUUCAUCCUUUAUAGAGUAUGUGUAAACUUUGAAACAUCUUUAAGCAUAUUCCUGGACCAGCCGUUAUGCAAAUAUCAUUAUUCCUUUUUAUGGCUGGACUCAGAAUUCCUGCAAAAUAAAUUAAUUUGUUUUUGAUACCCAAAUCUUUUUGGGUCCUUGAGGGUUAGUAGCUGGUGUAAUUAGAGAUGCAUAUAUCUGUUUAAUUCUCCAAACAUAUUUUGAUGUGCCAUAAUAUUUUGCAUAAUUGCAUGCAAAUACUUUAUGUCCAAAAUUAUCAUAGUAAUGACAUGUAGUAUGAGAAGAAAAAUGUUUACCUGCAGCUGCCUUAUUAGUUGACUUGAAACUUCCCCCAGUCAACUUGUUUAAGGUAGGAUAUUUACCAGUAGACCCCUUUCUAGUCGACUGAAAGCGGUUAAGCCAAGGAGACGACUUUGAUCUAACAAAGUAGUGGCUGGGGGAUUUGUGCAAGUUGCUUUUUUGUUUGCGAAGCUCAAAAUUUUCUUCUUGAAGUAAGUUGUUCUUCAAUUGAUAUUCUUUAAGCUGAAUAUCCCAGUUUUUCUUUUCAUUUCUCAACUUGUUAUAUUCUUCAAGUUGAAUUUUCCAAUCUUUCUUCUCAUGUAUCAACUUGUUAUAUUCUUCAAGUUGAAUAUCCCAAUUCUUUUUCUCUUUCCUCAACUUAUUAUAUUCUUUAAGUACUUUCUCAAGGUCGUUGAGAACCAAUUCAAUAUUUUCCUACAAUUCAUCAGAUUUAUCGCAAUACGUAAUAGGAGUAGGACAUACAUUGUCAAUUUCUCCCAUUGCCAUGAAACAUAGGUUCUCCAUUCUUUCGGGAUCAUUUUCUUCCUCAUAUUUAUCCUCGCCGCUCCAAGUUGAGAUUCCACGAUUCUUCUUUUUGAGGUUAGGAUACUUUAAUUUCAUAUGUCCAGAUUUACCACAUUCGUAGAAGCAUACAUUCUCUUUUUGUUGAACCUCAUUCUUGUGGCUCUUGUGAUGAUUCUGGAUGGAUUGAGAUUUUUUAUUCUGCUUCUUUCUACUCUCUUUUUUUCUUGCCCUGGGUAUCACUGCCAAGUCUUCUCGAUCUUCACCGUUUUCAAAUUCUUCAAGAACUGACUUGGAUUCGAUUUCCUUAACUUUGUUGAUGUCUCCAUGGAUAUUUUUCAAUCUGUCCCAUAUAUCUUUAGCAGUCUCACAAGUGGAGAUAUUCUUAUAUUCUUCUUCACUAAUCGCACAAUAGAGCAUGUUGAUUGCUCUAGCGUUUGUUUGCAUAAUAUCCAGCUGCUCUCUUGUGUAGUCAAAUAUGGAUGUCCCUUUUUCAAGAUUCCUUCCAUCACUGUUGUUCGGAAUAGGUCUAGGUCUAUUCUGAAUAACUAGCCAGGCUAGAUAAUCUAUUGGUUGAACAUAAACCUUCAUUCUUUCUUUCCAAUGGCUAUAGUAUUGACUAUUGAAUUACGGUGGCCUUCUUGUUGAGUAUCCUCUUGAGAUAUGGUUUUAGUAAUUUGAUGACAUUCCAUGGAUCUUUUAUCACUUGUUGUUAAGCAAAAAAUAAAGAUGUGAGACCCGCUCUGAUACCAAUUGAAAGUACAAGGGGAGGGGGAUGAAUUGUAGCAUGUUAAAAAAUUCUAGUCGACUAUGGUAUGCUCUUAGUCGACCGAUGCAGAGAUAGACUGCACAAUACUGUUAGUACUUUGAUUCAAUCAAAUACUAAUCUUAACAAACAGUAAUUGCUUGUAAUAACAUAUGAAAGCAGUAAGGUAAAUGACACCAGGAAUUUUAUACUGGUUCGUAACCAAUGUGGUAUCCUACUCCAGUCUCCUUGGGUUGCAAGGAUGUUAUCUCUUGAUCUCUUUAUGAUAUGAUUGUAUACAGCUUGUGUGAUUUUCAACGUUCACCACCAAUUUUUACAAGGUUGGUUUUAAUACGCUCACCAACUACGACUCUUUGGUUUUCACUCGCUCACCAAAGAAACGAAUAAUGACCCAACCUCUAAGGACACACUGCCUCUCCAAUAUUUUUCAGUCUCUCUUCACUCUUUUAUGUACACAGUAAAUCUACUAAAUAUAAAUCUCAAUGCUUGUUAAGAGUAGAACAAAGAACUUGUAGGUGGAUAGACAAUUGUAUAGAAGGUUGCGUGAAUCAAUCCUUGAGUUUUCCAGUAUUCUUAUAGCCGAGUAUUGUUGUAUAUUGGUCUUUUGAUGCCGACAGUAUGUUACUGAUAUUUGAUUCCAGAAAUGUCUCUGAUUCCUUCAAGAAUGAUGAGCUAGAUUAAUUAAUCCAAGGAGUGCUCUUGUUCCAUGCCGAGAUGCUCCAUAUUUGCCGAGAUGCUCCACGCUUUACUUAAGAAAUGAGCACCACUUCAAUUUGUCUCCAUUUGGUGGAGUAGAUUAAUUUAUUCAAUGAGUGCUUUAUGUUGUAUCAAAGAAAGAGACAACAAGCACCACUUCAUUUUGUCUCUAUUUGGUGGGGUAGAUUGAUUUAUUUAAGGAGUGCUUCAUGUUUUAGACAGCACUUCCAGUUGUCUCCCACUAUAUUGUGUUUUCCAUUGCUUUAGUCCUUCAUUCUUAUUUUUGCAUACUUGAGAGAUCGAUCAGUGUUGAUUGACUUUCUUUUUGAGCUUCUUGUCCUUGCCUUCAUUCCUACAAUCAAAGUAGACCACUUUGAAUCUCCCAUUUUAUAGAAUCUGCAUACACAUGUAUAACAUUAAUCAAGACUUCUUUAUGGAUAUUGAUCAUUAUUAAAAUUAUAAACUUAACACUUUCUAUCAUAGUAACCUCUAAACCUUCACCCAUAGGAUGCUUAGUUGAAAAUAUUUUAACCUCAUUCUCCACUUUUUUCAGUUUUCCUAUAACCCCUUUUCUCCCUUCUACAUUAUUUGUGACUACAACUGAUCUUUCGGGAUUAACAUCGAGUUUUUCUAUCAACUUAUCGUAGUUUUUAGUCUUGCAAUCGACGAGAGAGAAAUCGAUGUUCUCGUAGUUAGGCAAGACAUCAACAGGGUCCCCUGUCUUGAAUUCUACCAUGUCAUUUAGCCCUGUUUCUUCAAUCACUUUCUGCGGCUUGUCCAAUUUUUGCUCCUGAAUAAUGCAGACAACUUUACCUGUCGAAAAUAAAAUUAAGUAAAUAAAAGUAUAGUUUGUCUAACGGCUUAAACUUUUAAAUGAGAUAAUCAUACAUUUCGAACAUUUACCUCCUGUUUGACGAGCAGCAGUGGCUAAGGCCACAGUUGAUGGAGAGACUUCAGAGGUGACUUCUACCAUUAAUUUGGCACUCAUCCCGGCUGCUAGUGGUGAUAUGAACUCGUUACUCUCGGGUUCUUGUGUUCCGCAAGAUUCGCAAUUCUGAUUUUUUUUGCUACACUGCAUGGAAUAAAAGGGAAAUCAAACAGUCAAUUUCAUAUUUUUUGGUAUUCAGUUAGAAAUCCAAGUAGUCGCAUAUAUGCAUUAUGCGACGAUUGUUCUCAAUGCUAGAACUAUGGCCAGGUGAACUAUUAGAAGCAAAUCACAGUAAUAAUGUUCUUUUUAGUUUACAGCGCCAGCCAUGCAGUUAUUUGAGAUGUAUUUUUCUCUGUGUGUCAAGCACAAUGCAGAAUAUAUUAAUUAAAGGUUUUAUUAAUACAUCCGAGUAUAUUAAAUUUUGUGCGUGAAUGUGAUAUCAUCUCUUUUAAUUUAAAGGCUCUGAAUUCCAAAGCUGCAUUCAUGUCUUUGGAUUAAAAUUGAUUAGGGAUGGCAAUGGGGCAGGGCAAACGUAGGGCAGGCCAGGGCGUUAAAGGGGCAGGGCGGAGCAAAAUUUAAACGGGGCAAGACAAGGUAGGGCGGGUCAAAACAUUUUUUCACAAAAUUUUAAAUAGAUAGGGCAGACAUAUAUAAGGAGUUUUAGCUUCAUUAAAAAAGUCAAAAAUUAUAAAAACUUCAAUGAAAUCUUGCAAAAUGAAAAAAAAAAUUACAAAAUGAAAGAGGGUCUAAACAGGGCAGCGCUUAAUAGGUCGGGGCAAGGCAAGGCAAGGUUGAGCAAAAACUUGAAAAAAUGCUACAUAAGGCAUGACAAGGAGGGCCAAAAGCUUAGCAUGUCACAGCUUGUCUUGCCAUGUCCUGUCGUGCCCUACGCAAUUGACAUCCCUAAAAUUGUUGUAGAGCUCCAAAGUUAAAACACCUCCCAAAAAAUCAUGCCAGGCAAAUUCCAAGAUUACUAACCUCCCCCUCUUCAAAGAAAAGGAGAAGGGUGGAAAAGAGACGAAUGUCAUUUCUUUUGUGAUUAAAAGUUGAUAAUUUGAAAAUUACUUUUUGACAAAUAUCUAUAUAUAUUGUUACCAUAUAGAAUAGUGUUAUGAUGAAUUUUUAAAAAAUUUAAAAUUGAUGAUAAUGUUUAAAUAUUGAUAUGUGCAAAUGAUAUGAAAAUAAUAGUUAAAAGAAAGUUAAAUUCCCACUUCUUAAGUGAUAUGAAGUCAUUUUCCAUUUCUGAUAAGUGAUAACCAUACAUCAUAAAUAAUUUUCUCUAAGAUUACGACUUUGAAAAUGCCGCAGAUCUAGAAGGAUCUUCUUCUGUAUAUGCCUCUUGUUCUUUAAUUUCUCCUAUUAGUUCUCUUCAUCUCAUAUGCAAUUGCAAUAAUUUCUUUUAAUCAUCCAAGUUUAUUUUGUUUGGUGGGUCAUUAUUCGCGUUAAGUAGUGAUACUGAUAAAGAAAUUAAAUGAAUCUUGAGUCUAAUUCAAUCCUAAAAAUUAGUUCAUGACAUAAAGAUCACCCAAGCCAUAUAAAAGAACUAUCCAUCCCUUUUUACCACCAAUUUGGGACUCCCAACACCCUUCGAUGACUCAGGACUAAACAUUUAGAGCGUGGACAAUAUAAUAAAGGCCCAACAUCGAAAAUUUAAGAAUGGGUUAAGUCUUCCUCGACACGAUAAAGAAAAGGAAAUCUACAUUGUAUGGCUACCAGAAAAUUCUAUUAGCCCUACUUUCCGCACGGUAACCCUAUAAUCUCUCGUAUCACAAUAUAGUUUUUUUAUAUGUAGCGUCCCAUCUUACCAAAAAGUUUUUUAUUUAUUAUACACGCCUUUCAACCGAAGUUUAUUCCUUUCCAUCCCAUUUCAAGAAUAUUUUUUUAUUUUUCAAAACCCACUUACUCGUAGUAAUUACUCACCUCUUUCUUUCUCUCUGUCCUUUUCUUCUUUUUCAUUUUUCUUUCUUCGGCUAUUUCUCUUUUUUCUUCAUUCUUCUUUCUUUUUCUAUUUCUUAUUUCAUAUAUGGAUUUCUUUCUCAUUGUUUUUGACUUCAUACUAAUUGUUUUUGACUUCAUACUUAUUAGGUCUUCUUCGGAAUCGUAAUGGUGUUCUGUGAGUGAAGAUCGUUUGAAAUGAGUAUAUACAUUGUAUCCUAAAUUUGGCAGUACAUGCAUUAUAUUCCUAACGUGUUUGUGUAUCCAGAGUGUAUAUUAAGUGUAUCACAAGUAUGUUUGGGUGUCAUAAGUGUAUAGUCUGUUAUACAAUGUAAAAAUUAUAUAUACAGCGCCUUCUAUUUCUUCUUCUUCUUCUCCUUCUUCCUUCUCUAUUUCUUCUUUUUUUUGUGGCAUGGGUAUCUAUGCUUAUGGAGUUUCCUCCUUUUCCUUUUUUUUAUUUUAUAGAUUUGAUAAAUUAAAAUUUCAAAAACAAAUGUUUCAGUUUCUAUGCAAAAGAUAAAUUUUAGAUUCAAGCGUUUUGAUAUUCGUGGGAAAUAUCUUUUUAUUUUCUUUCAGCUUUAAAUCAUAGAUUACAUUUUAUGGUUCACAACCUUUGAGUGUGUCACACCUCUUUUUUUCACCUUAACUCAUUUAAGAUAAUAAAUUAAUUUUUUAAAGUUCAAAAAGUUUUUCAAUUCAAAGUGACAAAAUUUGUAUUUCAAAGUAUUUUCAGAGUCGUCACUUGACAUUUGGUUUCGGUGUAUCAAGUCAACGUUUUUUAAAAAAAAAAAUUAUUUACCUUUAAAAUAUAUUUUGACUUUAAAACAUAAUCUGCACCAAAAAUUCUAAGUAAGGGGGUUCAUUUGACUCAAGAAGAAUGUAUUAGGCAUUCGCCAAGUCCUAUAACUAGUACUUGAUCCAAUUGGCUUUAAUGAAUACUCAAAUUGAGAUAAAACAAAUAAGAAUAAAAAAUAAACACACAAGGAAGUUCGAGGUUGUCCCACCUAAAUAAAGGCAAAGGAAGGGGGAAAAAAGAAAGAAAAAAUAUAUUAAAGGUCCUAAACUAAUCUAUACUAUGCUUCUUCCACUAUGUUCGUCAUGGCCUCCAACUAUAUACUACUGUGGGGCAUUCCUUUGGGUAAAAUAUUUUACAGAUUUUUCGGGGAUUCCCCGGAUAACAUAAUUAACUAAAAGGGACAACCUCUCGCCUCCAAAAAACAAAAAUGUCUUAGGCUUGCCUACCCAAGUGUGGUCAGCCUCAACAUGCUACUAGCGGACAAAGUAAAAAUAAAAAUAAAGUAGAACUAAAUAAGAAAAGUCUUAUCAAUGCUCAUUUCCUUUUUAAUUCUGUUUAAGUCCCAAAUCCCAUGGCCCAUAGCUAUAUCCAACAUUCAAACAGUCAUAACAAAUCUAGAUAAGAUGAACAUACAACCCAGUGAGCAUCCAAACCAACAAAAGAAAGAUAAAAUUACAAAGAAGAGCUAAGAAUAGUAAAGUAAAGAAACUGAAGUUAUCCGAACAGCCGUUUAAGGAUGUCCUACAUCACCCCAUGCCUUGGUCAAAUUCUAUCCGUUCUUAAAGUUUACUCUAACUUACAACUUUGGCUUAAUCUUUAGAAGAAACUGAUAUUAUGAGAAAGCAAUUCUUUUUUUUAUUUCACCCCCAAAUUGGAGUUAAUAAAGAAUUCGAAAAGGGCUAACGAAAACCUUUAAUCAAUCACAAUAGAAAGAACUCUAAAUAACUAAAGAGAAAUGAAAACAACAUGCUGGGAAUUUAAUUUGAGCACUCAACUCAUUCAAAUCGGGACAUUAUUUUAAUGCUAAAAAGAAAAACUUAUAAGAUAACCUUAGCUCAAAUAAUUGUUAAAACAUGCUUCAAGAUGUUUAAUUAAACAGUGAAUCCAAAGAGGAGCACGUAAGUCUUUAAAUAAUAAAUAAUUUCCACCAUUCCCAUUCUUUCUUUCACUUAAGAAAACUCUAAAAAGACUAUGAAAAAUCAGUUGUGAACUCCAAUUUAAACAGGCAAAAAGAAAAGUCUAGGAAUCACCAUUUAAGGAACAAAACUAUUUUUCAAGUCCAAAUUCGUUUGUUGACAGAACAUCUACUAAAGCAUCACUAACUGAUGUUAAGGGAACAAACCGAAAGAAGGACAUUUCACUUGAUUUCUUUUACCUAAACAAUUUAUGGAAAUCAAUCAUUUACCUAAACAAUUUAUACUCCCAAAUCCUACCCAUCCUUAAACGGCUCUUCUUAAGCUUUUCAUAACCGCAAAAAUUAAAAUAAGUAGUGGAGUAAAGAAGUGAACCUGUUUAAACAAAAUUUCUUUAAUAAGAGCAGACGAAAUCAACAAUUACAAACUUGGCUUCAAAACUCGGCAAGGAAUGACAGCAACUAACCCGCACCGGAAUUGCGGACGGGAAUCAUGAACCAAUAUCGAACGGCAGCUUCAAUAUGCAACGGACUCAAACCACCCUCAAAUUCAAUCAAACUCCAUUUUUUGAAAGUAAAAAACCGAAAUCAAAUAGAAUAAACAGAGGUGUAUUUUUCUUGUAUUUUUUUUUCGAUUUUCUAAAAUCUAAAAGAGGAAUAUUGUUUUUUAAACCCUAGCUUUUUUCAUUGCUCUCCAGAAUCGUCCCCUGUAGAAACCGAAAAUAGUAGAAUAUAUAGAAGCCUCGAAGAUUCUCUCCUUCCUUUCCAAGUAAUUAUCCCAAAAUUCCUGUUUUUCAGAUUUUCUUUUAAAAGAUAAUUUUUUUAUGAAUGGAAAGCGUGGAUUCGGUUUCACCCUAAUCCGACCGCUCCCAUUGUCUAAAGGAAAUCAAAAACGCAUGAGUGAGGUUGAAGAAUCUUCGGUGUUAGAGGUUCGUUAAGGUUCGGGGUGACGUGGAAAGAAGGAGAGAUGAGAGGAGGGGACCAUAGAGACUCAGGUGAGUGAACUCGCCAGUUUGGAUGAGUUUUUGAUACAAAUAUUAGCCAUUAGCUUUCGAAAAUUAGUUGCACGUGUUUUGGUGGGAAAAGUAGUUAUUGUUUGUGUCACACGCUUAGCAUGUUUGUAUUUCCUUUUCUUUUUAUUUAAGCAUUUUAGCUUCAUUACAAUUUUAUUAAUAGGAGAUACACAAAAUAUAAAGGCAUCGAGAUUGAUAUAUUAAUUGGACUCCUCUCUUUCUCCUCUUCUUCUCUCUAUAUUCUGCUUCCUCCUCGACCAACUCUUCUGUUCUUGUCUCAUUUCUGUUACUAGUUCACUCUUCUAAUGAAGUGAUACCUCAAUUAGGUAUCAAUUGGUAUCAGAUCUCGAUAGACGAUGGGACCACGUAUAACUGUCGAUGUAGUAACUAGCAAUCAACCCAUGGAUUUGCAGGAGCAAUAUGAAGAUCUAGCAGCUCAACAGCUAGAUCUAAGGGCAGAAAUGGCUCAAACACGAUAGGAACUCUGGGAUGACUUGGAUAAACGCCAUGUUGAGCUGCUCCAUAUGGUAAGUUCUCUAAAAUAUUCCUUUGAUAGUUUGAAAUUGAGCCAGCAAUCAAAGGACAAUGCUUCUACUUCGACUGCUAGGGAUAAGGUAUUACAAUCAGGGCAAGGUAUCUUAGGUCCUAAUCCUUAUUGUGGUAACACAAAUUGAGGUCAUAAUCUAAUUUUCCCUCCUUUCAAUGGAAAAAAUUUGAAAACCUGGUUAUAUAGGAUUGAGCAAUAUUUUGCAGAAGAUGACACUCCGCUCAAUCAGAGAGUGAGACUAGUAGCUAUGAACCUCGAUGAUUAGGCCUUAGCUUGGCAUCAAGCCUAUCUCAAAUGUCAGAAUGUACCUGUGUUACCCUCUUGGGAUGAGUAUAUUACUGAACUAAACGAAGUAAUUACUGGUGAUUUCUCUGAUCAUAUGCUAGAGUUGAAACAGUUGAAACAAACAGGAUAUGUUAGGGAAUUUCAAUUUGCUUUUGAUAGACUGGUAGCUCAAUGUAACUUAACUGUUGAGCAAGCUAUCUCUUGCUUCCUUGGUGGUUUGAAAGAGGAACUGGUGAAUCAUAUAAUGAUGCAUGAGCCUAACACUUUAGCUAAAACCUGCAGGCUAGCUAGGCUAGUUGAGGCCGCUUUAGCUGCUAAUGCCAGAGCUCAUAAAUAUACUUCAGUUGGUUACUCUGAUGCUAGGAGGAUUCCUUAUGAUAAUCAAGUCCCUAAACCUCCUUCCUAUCCAGCAGUUAGUCAUACACCUCGACUGACAUUACCUGCUCCUAACACUGUUGUGGUACCUAGGCAUAGGAGGACUAUUUCCCCAGCUGAGAUGCAGGCAAAAAGGGCCCAGAGAUUAUGUUAUUUUUGUGAUGAAAAAUAUACUGCAGGCCACAAAUGCAACCUUCCCAAAUAAUUGUUUGUCUUAGAGCUUGAAAGACAUGAUACCUUACCUACAGAAGAAGGAGACAAUACUUCUGAAGUUGAGAAACCUCAUGAGGAGUGGACUGUUGCUAAAGAAGGACAUCCUCACAUUUCACUAUGUGCAUUAGCUGGUAUCCAAGGAGCACAAACCAUUCAUGUUACAGGCUAUAGUGAUAAAAAAUCCAUUCAGAUUCUCUUAGAUGGUGGUAGCACCCAUAAAUUUAUAGAUUCAGCAGCUGCAAAGAAGCUAGGUUGUUAUGUUAUUCCUACUGUGCUAAGUUAUGUGAGCUUGGGCAACAACAAUCUUGAAGCCACUUCUGGAGUGGUAAAGAAUUUUAAGUGGAUAUUGGAGGGUAAUACAUAUGUAUCAGACCAUAUAAUCUUUCUUGUUGGUAAAUAUGAUUUGGUUUUAGGAGCCUUGUAGAUGAAGACCUUAGGUCCAGUCACAAUAGACUAUUCAGCCUUAACUAUGACCUUUAACUACCAAGGCAAAACACAUUUCUUGAAGGGAGUUUCAGAAUAUUGUAAGCUUUCUAGUUCUAAGGCUGUCAAUAAGUAUCAAGGUGAUAAUGCUUAGUUGUAUAUGCCACAGGUGGUGCUUGAAGCUCCAUUACCUACUUGUGGAGGUGAUGGGCUUUUUCUUUUCCUACACUUACCUAAAGAUAAGCCAAUGCCACAGUCACUCAGAGACUUAUUAACAACCUAUAAGUAGGUGUUCUCAGAGCCUACUGCACUACCUCCCCAAAGGGGUGCAUUUGACCACAGGAUCCCAUUGCAGCCUAGUACCAAACCAAUCAACAUCAGGCCUUAUAGAUAUUCUUCUAUGACAAAGGAUAUCAUUGAGAAGUUGGUAAAGGAGAUGCUACAGGAAGGGGUCAUCCAAUACCGAAACAACCCAUUCUCUUCACCUGUGGUGGUGGUAGGUAAGAAAGAUGGAACUUGGGAUUAUGUGUGGACUACAGGGACCUAAACGAGUGUACUAUUAAAGAUAAAUUCCCUAUUCCUAUUAUUGAUGACUGGGUGGAUGAGUUAUUAGGGGCUUCUAUCCUUCUAAGAUUGAUCUCAGAUCUAGUUAUCACCAGAUCAAGAUGGUUCCUGAAGAUGUCCCUAAGACAGCAUUCAAAACUCACAUAGGACACUAUGAGUAUUUGGUCAUGCCUUUUGGCUUGACCAAUGCUCCUUCCAUUUUCCAGUGCUUAAUGAACCAUGUCUUUCAGAAGCUUCUCAGAAAAUUUAUGCUUGUUUUCUUUGAUGAUAUUCUAAUCUACAGUCUGAAUUUGCAAGAUCAUCUUCUUUAUUUGCAGUAGGUUUUUGACAUUAUGGUGCAGAACAUUUUAUUGGCCAAGAAUUCUAAAUGUGUUUUUGGUGUGCCAAGUGUGAAAUAUCUAGGCCACUUUAUUUCUGCACAAGGAUUUGCUACUGACCCAAAGAAGAUAGAGGUGGUGAAGCACUGUAAUGACCCGACUGGUCGUUUUGAGCACUUGCACUUUUCUCGGUAGUUUGAGGGCACGAGUAUCCCCGCAUGAUGUAUUAUGUGAUGAACCGAUAGGUCAUCUUAUGUUUUAGAGCCUAAUUCUGUAUUUUGAAGUCUCAAAUACCUCAUCUUAUCUCUUCUCGAUUUGCGUACAUAGUCCGGGUAUUUUUUCUAAAAGCUUUUAUGUUAAACACUAAACAAAUAUGAAAUCUUUGCCUUAAAACCCAUUUGAGUUGACUUUGAUCAACGUUUUGAGCAAACUGACUCAGAUCUAUAUUUUGAUGGUCCGUAUCAUGAUUUGGGACUUGGGCGUAUGCCCGGAAUCGAAUUCGGAAGUCCCUAGCUCGAGUUAUCGAAUUUUGUUAAAAUUUAAAAGUUUAAAGGCUUAAUGAAUCUAAUGGUUUGAUCGAUGUUUGAAAUUAUUGAUACCGGGUCCGUAUUUAGGUUUCAAAAUCGGGUAUAAGCUCAUUUCUAUAUUUAUGACUUGUCUGUCAAAUUUAGUGAGAAACGGAGUUGGUUUGACAUGAUUCGGACGUCCGAUUGUUGAAAUAGAAGUUUUAAAGUUUUCUUGAAAAUUUCUUUUGAUUUGGUGCUUAAUUCGUAGUUUUAGGUGUUAUCUUGGCGAUUUGGUCGCGCGAGCAAGUUCGUAUAAUAUUUUUAUACUUGUGUGCAUAUUUGAUUUAGAGCCCCGAGGACUCGGGUGAGUUUCAGAUUGGAUCCGGAAUAAUUUUUUCAUGAUUUUGAGUGUUGGUACUGGUGUCAUAGCACUUGCGAUAUUUUUGUCGCAAAAUGCGACUAUCGCAAUUGCAAAGCAACCUCGCAUUUGCGAAGCUGGGCUACUGGGGAAAGGACUCGCAUUUGCGAAGAAUUCUCCGCUUUUGUGAAGCCUGUUGAGUUCGCAUUUGCGGACUCAGUAUCGUAUUUGCGAUAAAGGCCUAGGCGGGGUUAGUUCGCUUUUGCGAAGGACCAAUGUUCACAUUUGCGACCUUUUUGGUCGCAUUUGCGAAGGCAACAGAGAAUUUCAAAACUUUGAUUUUGCGAUUAGUUGUUCGCAUUUGUGAUGUUCACAUUUGCGAAACCCAUGUCGCAAAUGCGACAUCUUCAGCAUGCAUAUAGCUGAGAAUUCCGAGACUUAGCUUCAUUUUGUUAUAUUUUGAACCCUAGCUUCGAUGGGAGGCGAUUUUGUGAAGGGAUUCUCAUACCAAAUCAUUGGGUAAGUGACUCUAAUUAAUUAUCAACUUCAUUUCAUGAUUUUACAUAAGAUUUAACAUCAAAUUCAUAAGAAUCUAGGGAAAAAUUUGUGGAUUUUGUCAAAACUUUGAAAAAUGAAAAUUUGGGAUUUAAGAGUCGAAUAGGACUCGGAUUUGGAAACAAAAUACAUAUUUAGACUCGUGAGGCUAUGGAUAGUCAAUACCUACCCUUGGACCCAGAUUUUGACAGGGCGGGCCCGGGGGUUGACUUUUGUUGACGUUUUAGAAAUUGUAUAAAAAUAACAGCUUUAUUAAUUAAAAUUAUUUUCCCUUGCAUUGUGUAAUGUAUUUAAGUCGUCUUUGGCUAGAUUGAGCCGAGCGGAGGUGAAUUUGUAAAGGAAAAAUCUAAAUUGAGUAUUGAGUUAGCCUAAUUGAGGUAAGUGUCUUGCCUAACUUUGUUGAGGAAAUUUUUCCUACUAUUUGACAUUGUUUGCUACAUGCGAGGAUGAUACAUAUAUGAGGUGACGAGCAUAUAUGCAUGUGCCAGGAUUAACUAUGCUCGGGGGUAAAUUAUGUCUUGUAGAAUCACGUGACCUUCUUGCCUUAUGCCUUACUUGACUCCUAGAUACUAAGAACAUAGUAUUAAAUGUUAGAAACUAAGACUUAGCUUAUUAUAACUUGAUCAAAUUUGAUGGAAUUCUGAGAAUACAUUGGUGUGUUUAAUUCGGUCAUCAAUAUGCAUAAUCAUUAAUACAUUGCUACGGCCGAUAUCCUUGAGAUACUAGAUUCUAUACUUGUGUUGUAGAUCAUUUGUGAGAUUUGUUGGAAUACUUGAAUAAUAAGGUUCUUGCGGGUUUAUUGAACUAUUGUUGGCUUGGAAAGUUGUGAUUGGGAUUCAUUUGGAAUAUUCCUUUAAACACUCUCCUUGACGUUAUUUAUGCUUCCUGCCUUAUUUAUCAUUGAUAUACAUAUGCUUGGUAAGGAAGAGGGUAAAGCACGAAGGGUGAUGCCGUGCCUUUGUUUAUAUAUUAUCAUGUGAGGGAGAGUGUAAAGCACGAAGGGUGAUGUCGUACCAUAUUAUUGAGAGUAAAAUCAUGAAGGGUGAUGUCGUGCCAUAUUAUUGAGAGUAAAAGCAUGACGGGUGAUGCCAUGUCGUUUUAUUUAUAUUAUCAUAUUUUUAAUUAUCAUGAGUUCAUGGCACGAUGGGUGUUUCCGUGCAGGUGAGGACAAGGUACAUGCAUUAUAUUAUGAUAUCUUUCCUUUGUGUAUACGUUCAUGCCGUUACAUUGAGCUGUUAAUUUUAUAUUUAUGGUUCCUAUGUGACUUGUCGUUAAUGCCCUGUUCUUGUUCUUUAUCUUAUUUGUUAUUGUGUCACUCAUGCCUUCUACUUGCUAAACUUGCAAUACAAUGCCUACUUCCUACUGUCAUGAUUAUAUCUUUGUCGUAUCUAUUUUGGUUGCACUUAGUACAUGUCUGCUACCGUGUUAGUCAUUCAUACUUCUACUUGUUAACGCAUAAAGAUUAUGUGUUCCCCUAUUAUUCGUUAUAUUUGUAUUUAUGCCUCCACCAUGCUAGUUAGUUGAAGUUAUAUUCCUUUUCCUGAUUGUUGUCAUCACCUCUAUGCUUUCUGCCUAGUCUGUUACUGAUGCCCUUAUGUACAUUCUCGCUCAUUUUUGCUAUUUGCGUAUUUCCUACUUUGCCAUUACUGUUAUCGGCAUUUCUACCGUCCAGUUGGUACUGUUGUAUGCAUUUUUGGUAAGGAUGAUAUAAAUGCAUGAAGGGUGUUGCCGUGCAAUUGACUUGAUAUCAGAGUAUAUUCCUCACGUUAUGAAAGUUAUGGCAUGACUAUUGUGGUUUAUUGGUUUCGCUCUAUGGAAAAUAUUGCCUGAGAUAUUGGAAACUGUUGAAUUAUGAUCUCUUCUAGUAAUCUGUUAUUAUUCUACAUUCGUUUCGCGUACUCUAUCCUCUUAUACUGUAGUAUAGUUCUAUUGCUAGAUUUCGGUACAAAUUUUUAUCAGUGAGCAUAUUUUUACUAAAAGCCUCGUCACUAUUUCGACGAGGUUAGACAAAAUACUUACUGGGUACAUGUGGUCAAUUGUACUCAUACUACACUUCUGCACCUUGCAUGCAGACUUUUAGAGCGGAGAUGCUGGUGAUGUCGGGAGCUGUCAUGACCAAAUUUUUCCUCCGUAUGACAUCGUGAUGGCACCUAGUCUCUAUGACUAGGUAAGCCUAAUAUUUUGCGGAAUAAAUGAAAUGAAAAUAUAUAUUUAACAACGAACUGUAGCAAUAACACUAUAAUUGAGUACCAUGCCAUUUGGCAUGUACAAUAACCAACUCCUCAAUAUACUACACAGCAUUCCCAAAACCCAAAACAUCGUGAAUCACAAAGUACACGAGGAAAACCUAGUGUUUCUAUACAUCAGAGUCUAUCAAAGGAAAAUACAUAAGAUAAUGGACAUGUGGAAGAGUAGAAGGGGACUCCGAGGUCUGCGGACGCGACAAGUAUAUCUUAAAGUCUCCAAAGCUAUCCCGGCUCACUGAUAGUGCGGCUGAUAAGGAGUACCUGGAUCUGCAUACGAAAAACAUGUGCAAAAGAGUAGCAUGAGUACACCAUAAUCGGUACCCAGUAAGUGCCAAGUCUAACCUCGGUCGAGUAGUGACGAAGUCAGUUCAGGGCCCUAGUGGUAUAUAUAUAAUAACACAAGAUAUAAUAAAAUACCGCAGUAAAAUAAAGACUGAAAUUUAACAAGAAUGAAAUUAUAGAAGACAACAGCUCAGUACACAAAGAUAACAACAGGGGUUUUUCCGAGAUACCGUCUCGUAGUCCCAACGUAAAUGUGCAGAACAUGGGGAUCUCUCGCAAUACCGUUAUGUAGUCCCAAAGUAAAUAUGCAGUACAGGGGAAUCUCCCGGAAUACCGUUUCGUAGUCCCAAAGUAAAUAUGCAGUACAUGGGGAUCUCCCAAAAUACCGUUUCGUAGUCCCAAAGUAAAUAUGCAGUACAGGGGGAUCUCCCGGAAUACCGUUUCGUAGACCCAAAGUAAAUAUACAUCCAAACAAUAGAAUUUAAUAGUUACGGCACGAAAUUCUACAGUUCAACCUAAGUACCAGUUAAGGAAAGACAAGAAAAUUCACUAAACAUGCUGCACAUAGUUCAAGUAAAUAGUUAAGGCAAGUAGGCAUGCUAUUCUAGUCUAGCCGGAUAUCACACAUGCUAAUGGAACUCAAAUAAGAAGGAAGUCAGGUUAUUACUUAGUAGAAAAAAAAUCAGUUUUUUACACAAUUAGCCCGUGUACGUACUCGUUACCUCACGUACACGGCACUCAUAUAUCAAAAAUAGUACAAAUCUUACGGGGAGUUUCCCCACACAAAGUUAGGUAAGCCACUUACCUCGAACCAACCUCAAUCAAUCGGUAAGAAUGCCUUUUCCACGAAUAUCCGACUCUGAAUGGCUCGAAUAUAGCCAAAAUAAUUCGAUACAAUCAACAAAAAUUAUAGUAAUCAAUUUCAUAAGAAAAUACUAUAUUUUUCAAUAAAAAUUCGAAAUUAACUCAAAAAUCGUCCGUGGGGCCCACGUCUCGGAAUCCGACGAAACUCACAAAAUCCGAUAACUCAUUCAAUUGCGAGUCCAACCAUACCAGUUUCACUCAAAUCCGACUCUGAAUCGACACCGGAAUCUCAAAAAUUCGUUUCUAUGAGAUUUCUAAAAAUUUUCCAAAUUUCCAUCUCAACACACUAAUUAAAUGGGGAAAACAAUGAUAUAUUUGUGUAUAUUGACCAAAUCCGAGUUAGAAUCACUUACCCCAAUAUUUUUCCUAGAAAAUCUAUCAAAAUCAUCUCUCCUCAAGCUCCAAUUCUGUCCAGGCAGCUGUCACGACCCAAAAUCCCACCACAGGCGUCGUGAUGGCACCUAGUCUCUAACACUAGGUAAGCCGAUUUCUAUUACAUUUUGAAGNNNNNNNNNNNNNNNNNNNNNNNNNNNNNNNNNNNNNNNNNNNNNNNNNNNNNNNNNNNNNNNNNNNNNNNNNNNNNNNNNNNNNNNNNNNNNNNNNNNNNNNNNNNNNNNNNNNNNNNNNNNNNNNNNNNNNNNNNNNNNNNNNNNNNNNNNNNNNNNNNNNNNNNNNNNNNNNNNNNNNNNNNNNNNNNNNNNNNNNNNNNNNNNNNNNNNNNNNNNNNNNNNNNNNNNNNNNNNNNNNNNNNNNNNNNNNNNNNNNNNNNNNNNNNNNNNNNNNNNNNNNNNNNNNNNNNNNNNNNNNNNNNNNNNNNNNNNNNNNNNNNNNNNNNNNNNNNNNNNNNNNNNNNNNNNNNNNNNNNNNNNNNNNNNNNNNNNNNNNNNNNNNNNNNNNNNNNNNNNNNNNNNNNNNNNNNNNNNNNNNNNNNNNNNNNNNNNNNNNNNNNNNNNNNNNNNNNNNNNNNNNNNNNNNNNNNNNNNNNNNNNNNNNNNNNNNNNNNNNNNNNNNNNNNNNNNNNNNNNNNNNNNNNNNNNNNNNNNNNNNNNNNNNNNNNNNNNNNNNNNNNNNNNNNNNNNNNNNNNNNNNNNNNNNNNNNNNNNNNNNNNNNNNNNNNNNNNNNNNNNNNNNNNNNNNNNNNNNNNNNNNNNNNNNNNNNNNNNNNNNNNNNNNNNNNNNNNNNNNNNNNNNNNNNNNNNNNNNNNNNNNNNNNNNNNNNNNNNNNNNNNNNNNNNNNNNNNNNNNNNNNNNNNNNNNNNNNNNNNNNNNNNNNNNNNNNNNNNNNNNNNNNNNNNNNNNNNNNNNNNNNNNNNNNNNNNNNNNNNNNNNNNNNNNNNNNNNNNNNNNNNNNNNNNNNNNNNNNNNNNNNNNNNNNNNNNNNNNNNNNNNNNNNNNNNNNNNNNNNNNNNNNNNNNNNNNNNNNNNNNNNNNNNNNNNNNNNNNNNNNNNNNNNNNNNNNNNNNNNNNNNNNNNNNNNNNNNNNNNNNNNNNNNNNNNNNNNNNNNNNNNNNNNNNNNNNNNNNNNNNNNNNNNNNNNNNNNNNNNNNNNNNNNNNNNNNNNNNNNNNNNNNNNNNNNNNNNNNNNNNNNNNNNNNNNNNNNNNNNNNNNNNNNNNNNNNNNNNNNNNNNNNNNNNNNNNNNNNNNNNNNNNNNNNNNNNNNNNNNNNNNNNNNNNNNNNNNNNNNNNNNNNNNNNNNNNNNNNNNNNNNNNNNNNNNNNNNNNNNNNNNNNNNNNNNNNNNNNNNNNNNNNNNNNNNNNNNNNNNNNNNNNNNNNNNNNNNNNNNNNNNNNNNNNNNNNNNNNNNNNNNNNNNNNNNNNNNNNNNNNNNNNNNNNNNNNNNNNNNNNNNNNNNNNNNNNNNNNNNNNNNNNNNNNNNNNNNNNNNNNNNNNNNNNNNNNNNNNNNNNNNNNNNNNNNNNNNNNNNNNNNNNNNNNNNNNNNNNNNNNNNNNNNNNNNNNNNNNNNNNNNNNNNNNNNNNNNNNNNNNNNNNNNNNNNNNNNNNNNNNNNNNNNNNNNNNNNNNNNNNNNNNNNNNNNNNNNNNNNNNNNNNNNNNNNNNNNNNNNNNNNNNNNNNNNNNNNNNNNNNNNNNNNNNNNNNNNNNNNNNNNNNNNNNNNNNNNNNNNNNNNNNNNNNNNNNNNNNNNNNNNNNNNNNNNNNNNNNNNNNNNNNNNNNNNNNNNNNNNNNNNNNNNNNNNNNNNNNNNNNNNNNNNNNNNNNNNNNNNNNNNNNNNNNNNNNNNNNNNNNNNNNNNNNNNNNNNNNNNNNNNNNNNNNNNNNNNNNNNNNNNNNCCAAAUUAAUUGUAUAACUUCAUUAAAAUUCAUCGAAAAUAAUUUCGGAUAAUAAUACGUCGACUUAAAAAAUUUAUUCUGAAAAGUAAACAAAAGUCAACGUGGGACCCGCCCCUUGGAACCCAACAUAAUUUUUAUGAAAUAAAAAUACCCAUUCCGAUACGAGUUCAACCAUACCAAUUUUAUUGAAUUCCAAUAACAACUCGACCUCCAAAUCUUAAAUUUUUAUUUUUGGAAGAUUUUGUAAAAUUCUUGAUUUCUUCCAUUUAAAUCCGAACUAAAUGAUGAAUAUAAUUAUAGAUUCAUGAAAUAUAAUAACUUUAGGAUAUAUAACACUUAUCCCAACCAAGCUUGUGAAACAUCCCUCCAGAAUCGGCCAAAUCCGAGCUCCAAAAAUCUCAAUCGAAAAAUGGCGAAAUGACCAUUUUUGGUCCUUAACAUUCUGCCCAGUUUCGCACCUGCGGACUGAUUUUUCGCAUUUGCGAGCCAAGAUGCGCAUCUGCAAUGAUCACUGCCCAGCCACAAGCUCGCACCUGUGGAGCCAUUUCCGCUUCUGCGCUGAUCGCAGGUGCACAGCAUUUCCGCUUCUGCGCUGCCUCAUCGCUUCUGUGUAGCAACCAUCGCACCUGCGAUUGCGCAGGUGCGGAAGAUUGUCCGCAUCUUCGACCUUCCUCCAGCUCUGCCCAGCUCACUUCUGCGAGGUCGCACUUACGCCCAAAAUUCCGCAGGUGCGCAUCCAACGGCUGCUGCAAUUUUCCAGCAGCUUCUUCCAAGUCCGAAUUGCUCCGUUAACCUUACGAAAUUCACCCGAGGCCCCCGGGACCUCAACCAAUUAUACCAACAUGUUCCAAAAUACAAUACGAACUUAGUCGAAGCUUCAAACCACAUCAAAUAACGCCGAAAUUACGAAUCACGCAUCGAAUCGAAUUAUAAGGUUUCAAAUCUUUCAACUUCUAUAUUUCGCGUCGAAACGUAUCAAAUCAAUCCGGAAUGACUCCAAAUUUUGCACACAAGUCAUAAUUGAUGUAAGGGAGCUAUUCCCAUUUUCGGAAUCGAAAUUCGACCUCGUUAUCAAAAAUUUACCCUUUGGUCGGACUUUCCCAAAAUCUUAUAUUUUUCAACUUUCGCCAAAAUGUCGAAUUGUCCUACGAACUUCCAAAUCCAAAUCCGAACAUACGCCUAAGUCCGAGAUCAUCAUACGAAGCUAUUGCCAUCAUCUAAAUUCCAUUCUGGGGUCGUUUACUCAAAAGUCAACUCCCCGGUUAACUCUUUCCAUUUAAGCUUCAAAAUGAGAAUUUUUCUUUAAAUUAAAUUUUGAAUCUUCCAAAAACCAAACUUGACCACACACGUGGUCAUAAUACCUAUUGUGAAGUUUCUCGAGAUCUUAAAUCACUGGACGGAGCGUAAUUUCUUAAAACGACAAGUCGGGUCAUUACAGCAGUCCUCAGUCCUGCCUCGAUCCUGGCCCUCGAUCAAGGCUUCGAUCAUGGCAAUCGAUCAUGGCCCUCGAUACUGGGCCUCGAUCCUGACCUUCGAUCCCGGGCAUCGAUCAUGGCUUUGAUCCUGGCCCUCGAUCCUGGCCUUCAAUCAUGGCCCUCGAUUCUGGCCUUCGAUCAUGGCCCUCGAUCAUGACCCUCGAUCCUGAGCCUCGACCCUGGCUUCGAUCCUGGACCUCGACCCUGGCCUUCGAACCUGGGCUCUAUUUCUAGGCUUCGAUCCUGGGCUCGAUUUUUGCAUUUCCAGCAGAAGAUAAUUGCAUCAACUUUUGCAGCAGCUGUUUAAGUCCAACUUUUGAUCCGUUAAUCAUCCGAAACUCACCCGAGGCCCUCAGGACCUCAACAAAAAAUACCAACAAGUCCUAAAACAUCAUACGAACUUAUUUAAAAUCUCAAAUCAUAUCAAACAACGCUAAAAUCAUAAUUCAUACCCCAAUUCAAGCUUAAUGAAACUUAAGAAUUUAUAACUUCUACAUUCAAUGCCGAAACCUAUCAAAUCAAGUCCGAUUGACCUCAAAUUUUGCACACAAGUCAUAAAUGACAUAACAGAGCUAUAAAAAUUUUAGAACUGGAUUCCAAUCCCGAUAUCAAAAAGUCAACUCCCCGGUCAAAACUUCCAAACUUAAAUUUCUAUUUUAGCCAUUUCAAGCCUAUUUGAGCUACAGACCUCCAAAACACAAUCUGGACAUGCCCCUAAGUCCAAAAUCACCUAACGGAACUGAUGGAAUUCCAUUUCGGAUUCGUGUUCAUACAGUUCUGACUACGGUCCAAAUCCUAAAGUUUAAACCUCCAUUUAGGGACUAAGUGUCCUAAAACACUCCAAAAAUCAAAAUAAAACCUCCCGGCAAGUCACAAUAACAUGAAUAGAUAUGGAAAAAGUAGUAAAUAGGGGAUCAGAGCUAUUACUCUUAAAACGACCAGUCGGAUCGUUAUAGGAGCUGAACCUGAAGAUGUUCAUGCAUUCCGGAUAUGCCUGCCACUUGUCCUUAAUGGCUUUAGAUUUUGUUAAUCUGUUUAUAUAGCUUUCAAACAUAUCGUGUAAUUAUUUGUAUAAGCUUUGUAAAUUCUAAGUCUUAGAAACUCAUGAUUUGUACUACCAGUUCUUGGGUUAAUUUGUAAAUGUCCAGAUAAUUCUUCACUAUUUUCCUAUAUAAUUUCAUUUGGAUUGUAUUGUCUGUUAGUUGGCUUACCUAGCGAGUCGAGUUAAGUGCCAUCACGACUAGUGACCUUUGGGUCGUGAUAAGCACUGGCUUACUCCCACAAUUGUGAAGCAAUUAAGAGGCUUCCUUGGGUUAGCUGGAUACUAUAGGAAGUUUAUCAGAGGCUAUGGUCUUAUUAGUCGAUCUCUAACAAACCUACUGAAGAAGUAUACUUUUCUAAGGACCGAGGCUUCUACACAAGCCUUUGUUGAGCUCAAACUGGUACUCACUACUGUGAGCACCUAAAAUUUUAUCAUAUUUAAAUUUUAUCACCUUCUACUAUGUAAAUAUUUUUAGGGGUUUAAUCUAUAAUUUUUAGCUUUGUUUCACCUUUUUUAUAGGGUAAAAAAAAUUUAAAAACUUAAAAGGUCAAUUAUUAUUAUUAUUAUUAUUAUUAUUAUUAUUAUUAUUAUUAUUAUUAUUAUUAUUAUUAUUAUUAUUAUUAUUAUUAUUUUUAUCUUAAUUUUUAAAAAAACCCAAAAAAUUAAAUAAUUUUUUUUAAAAACAACAAAUUCGGGUGGGAAUAAAAUAUGAGGAAAAGGGGAAGUAGGAAAUUAAAAAAUAAAAGUAAAGGAAAGUGGGAAUUUAAAAAAAAAGUAAAAGGAAGUGGAAAUUAAAAUUAAAAAAAAAGUAAAAGAAAGUGGAAAUUAAAAUUUAAAAAAAGUAAAAGAAAGUGAAAAUUAGAAAAAAAAGUAAAGGAAGAUGAAAAUUAAAAAAUAAAAGUAAAGGAAGGUGGGGAAUUAAAAAAAAGAAGGAAAUGGGAAGUGAAAAUUUCUUCUUUUUUUUUUAACAAAAUCUGAAAAAAAAAAUCAAAAAGGUUGUCUAUAAAUAGAAGAGAAAAUGUGAGAAAAAAGAGAGAAGAAAGGGGGAGGAAAGAGAGGAGGGAAUUGAAAAAAAAAAUCUUUUUUUCCUUCAUCUUUUUUUCGAAAAUGCCCCAAAUUCAAGCCUAAAAACAUCCUUGAAGUACCCUCAUAAAUGUAGCAAGGUUCCGACUUUGUCUCUCCAUUUCCGUCAAGUUCGAGGUCGAGCUAAAGCUCCGGUCGAUUUUGGUUCAUAGUCUAUCCGUUUUUGCUUGUUAAAAGGAAAGCUUUGAAGGUCCGUUACUUCACUUUCUUUGUUAAAUAUGUAACUUUGUUUAAUUUUUUUUUCUUGAAUUUAAAGAUCAUAAGUUUGUAUUCAAAUGCUUGAUAUCAUGUCUAUGGCUUUAAUUUGAGUUGAUAUAAUCACCUAUUUGUUAGAGUAAAUUUUGACAUUUAUCUUAGUUGAUCUUAAUUGGACCUCUUGUUAAGUGUACAAAUGAAUAUAAUUUCUUGUCUAUGUAAGUUCACCUUGUUAGAAUUUUAGAUGAGCUUUCACAUUUAUUUUGUCAAUGUUCUUUAUCAUGAAUUAAAUCUAGGUGAGUAAAACUAAUUAUUGGAGUUUAAUUACUGGGUCAUGUUAUCAUAUUCUACUUAGUUUUAAUUGAUUUUCUAUUAUCUUAUAACAAAUGAACUAGUUUUAAACUGAAAAAUUGGUCUGCAAUGGGCCGUAGAGAAUAACUUGGUUUUCAAUGUGAUUUUCAUUAAUCUCACUUUAUUGAUUGGGCUGUAGCGCAUUUUCAAGAAUUGAAAAGCAUUUGAGCUAAAUAAGAAUAAUUCUAGUGGCCCGUCAUUAAUAAGAUCUUGGCUAGCCAUCCAUUGUAAAUUAAUAGAUAAAUGUCUCACAACUUCAAAGAUAGAGUAGUAAGUUGUAAACCCGUUUUUUAAUGUGAAUAAUUUGUCAAUACUCCAACUAGUUAAAAUAUUUUUUGACUUCCAAAUAAUUCUAUAUCCAUGAAUCAUGGCCUUCACAAUAAUCUCAAAUUAGAUUAGAAAAAAUAAAUGGAAUACCCUGAAUACGCCACUAUGCUUUAAGCGCGUGUUAACCAAUCAAUUGUCGUGAUUAUGUACACGUUCGCGUGACAUAGUUAUGAUUUCCCAAAUUAAAGGCAAAGUAUGCAUUCAUGUGACUUUGAAAAAAUAAUCUUAAAAAUAAUAAAGUAUUAUUAAUUGUGUACACGUACGCAUGACAUAAUUCUUGACAUACCAAACAAAACGAAUACAUGUACGUGUGAUUCAUUUUUAGAUAAUUCCAUAAUUACUAAUAAUCAAGCAAUUAAAAGCGGUUUAAGGUAAAAGUGCAUAAAUUUCCCUAGAACAUAAAAUAUCCAGAAUUAGUUAAGCCAAAUAUAAUUAUUAAAGUGACCACGAUAGAACUACGGAACUCGAGAGUGCCACACACAUUCUCCCGGGUUAACAGAAUUCCUUACCCGGUCUUCUGUGUUUCCCAGACUUAAACAGAAUCAAUUUUCUUGAAUUGGGAUUUUAAAAUAAUGGUGACUUGAGACACCGUAAACAAAUAUUUCAAGUGGUGACUCUUUAAAUUAAAUAAAAUAAUCUUAUUUCAAUAAUGUCACUUAAAGUGAAAAACUCUUUUCCCCGUAAAAAGGAGGUAUGACAACUAUUGCACAUGUUCUGGCCUUGCCCAAUUACUCCUUAUCAUUUGUUGUUGAGACUGAUGCUAGUGGAUCUAGUAUUCGUGUUGUCCUUAUGCAAAACAAUCAUCCUAUAACCUUUAUUAGUAAAGGGUUGGCUCCCAGGCAUGCUGCAUUGUCUGUAUAUGAAAGAGAGCUUCUUGAAUUGGUCUUUGUUGUGACCAAAUGGUCAUAUUAUCUUCUAGCCAACACUUUGUUGUCAGAACUGACCAGAAAGCACUCAAAUAUCUUUUAGAAUAAAAGCUCCAUACUGAUUCUCAGAUUAGGUGGUUGGCUAAACUCGUGCCUUUUGAUUUUGAAGUCCAAUAUAAAAUGGGAAGGGAGAAUGUAAUUGCAGAUUCCCUAUCCAGAGUUUAGGGAGCAUCACUGAUGGCCAUGCUCCUUUCUUCAGUUCAAGCUGACUUAUGAAAAAACAUUCAAGUUAGUUGGCAUUCAGAUCCUAAAUUGAAGGCCUUGAUUACUUCAUCACAAUAGAAGCCUUAGAAACACUUCACUUGGGUGAAUGAUCAGCUUAGAAGGAAAGGCAAACUGCUAGGCAUGCAACAAUGCUGCUUUGAGACAACAAAUACUCACACUUUAACAUUCCACUUCUUCUUGGGGGUCAUUCUACUAUUGAUGCUACUAUAAGGAAGGUUCUUACUUAUUUCUAUUGGAAGGGGAUAAGAACUGACAUUAUGACCUUUGUUCACAAGUGUUCUGUGUGCCAAAGAAACAAGUAUGGCACUGGUGCAUCCCCUGGCCUUCUCCAACCUUUGCCUAUUCCUGCUCUUCCUUGGACAAACAUCACAAUGGAUUUCAUAGAAGGCUUGCCUAAGUCUCAAGGCAAAGCAGUUAUAUGGGUCAUUGUUGAUCGACCCACCAAACUUGCACACUUUAUUAUUUUGGCUCAACCUUAUACUGUUCAGUCCCUUGUCCCUAUUUUCUUGGAUAAUAUCUUCAAACUUCAUAGUUUUCCUGCUUCCAUUACAAGUGACAAAAGACCCCAUCUUCAUUAGCUUCUUAUGGAGAGAAUUUCUUACUGCUCAAGGAGUUACCUUGAACACCUUCACUGCUUAUCAUCCUCAAACUUAUGGUCAGACAGAGGUGCUUAAUAGUUGUUUAGAAAUUUACCUCCGCUGCUUCUGCACUGACUCACCUUCUGACUGGUCUUUCUUCCUUGCCUUAGCUGAAUGGUGGUAUAAUACCAGCCCACAUUCUGCUAUUAAAACUUCACCUUUUGAGCUUCUUUAUGGUUAUCCACCACCACUACAUUUGCCUUACUUACCAGGGGAUUCAGAGGUCAAGUCUAUUGAGGACAUUUCUCUGCUUCGUGAGUUCAAGCUCCAACUAGCUAAGUUUCAUCUCACUCGAGCACAACAGAGAAUGCAAGCUCAAGCUAAUGCCUACAGGUCCGACAGGUAAUUCCAAGUUAGUGAUUGGGUCUUUGUCAAGAUUCAACCAUACAGACAACCUUUCUUAUCCUCUUUUCCCUAUCAUAAGUUGACUUCUCGCUACUUUGGACCAUAUCCUACAAUUGAGAAAAUUGGAGUUGUUGCUUACAAACUGUUACUCCCACCUGAAGUUCUGGUCCACUCCACAUUUCAUGUCUCACAGCUCAAGUUUUGUUAUGAAGUCCCUGCUGAAAUUAUACAUCCUCCUGUAAUUGAUUUGGCUAGUCAAUUAUUCCCUUCUCCUGAGUUGAUUAUGGAAAGACGACCUAUCAAUAAGGGAAACAAGGUUGUUGCUCAGUGUUUGGUUAAAUAGACUGGACUGGAUGCCUCCAAUGCCACUUGGGAAUUAGAUUUUGCACUUAAAGCUCGUUUCCUUUCCUUCACCCUUGAGGACAAGGGUGUUGUUCAACCAAGGGGUAUUGAUACAAGUAUUAGCCAUUAGCUUUUGAAAAUUAGUUGCACACGUUUUGGCGGGAAAAGUAGUUAUUAUUUGUGUCACACACUUAGCAUGUAUGUAUUUCCUUUUCUUUUUAUUUCAGCAUGUUAGCUUUAUUACAAUCUUAUUAUAGGAGAUACAUAAAAUGUAAAGGCAUUAAGAUUGGUAUAUGAAUUGAACUCCUCUCUUCUCUAUAUAUUUUGCUUCCUCCACGACCAACUCUUAUGUUCUUCUCUCAUUUCUGUUACUAGUUCACUGUUCCAUUGAAGUGAUACCUCAAUUUGGUAUCAGUUUUUCGACGAGUUUCGGGGCGGCAGAGAGGUGUGGUGCGGCUGCUAGGUUUAGGGAAUUAGGGUUAGGGUUUGGAGGAUAUUAGGUUAUAUAUGGGGUGUGAAAGAGUUGUGGCCAUUGGAUCUAAGUGGGGUGAAUGGCUGAGAUUUAGAAUUGGAAAUGGGGUGGUGGAUUGGGUCGGCUGGUGGGUCAGCGGGUUGGGACUGAUUGUGCUAAUGGAUACACGAAAUUGGGCCUUCUUUGAAUUAUAAAUCAAGGCCAUGUACAACCCAAAAUCAAUUCUCUUUCUCUUAAGAAUAAGAGUACAAUUACUGUUAAUUCAUGCUAAUUAAAUAAAAUAAUUCUAAUUGCAAAACACUAAGAAACUAUAUAUUAAAGUUUCGAAUAUUAAAAUAUAAGUCUAUUUUUUUUUUGUAUUUUCAAAGAUUAAACUUAAAAUAAGGCUAAAAGCAUAGCAAUAUAAAAUACUAAUAGAAAUAUGUAACAAGAUAAGAAAUAUUAUAAAAUGAAACUAUUUUGUGUUUUCAAUUUGUAAUUGAAGUAAAAAAUAGACUAGAACUCUAUAAAACUCAAAUAAAUAUUUAAAAAAAUACUAAAAACAACUUUAAAUGAUUUGCGGGUAAAAUAUUACGUGCUUACGGCGUGAUUCUGAAAAGGAAAAGAUAUUUGGGAUUCUCAUGAGUUGGUUCGCUGUGAAGAAUGUGGCAGGUGAGUUUCUUUUUUUUUUUUUGGUUACAAGAUUUUGGGUCAAUGAUUUAGCGGUUAUUAUUCGUUUUGGCCGAGCGCAUGUUGAUUUCGUAUAAAUAUAUAAAUAUUAUUUAACAUAGUUCAACUAUAGAUAUUUCAAGUCAAGCAAAUAGGUGCCACACUGGUUUGGCCAUGGGUAAGAGUCGUCUAAUGUGUGUGAUUUUCCAAACAUCAACCUUCAGUAAAUUCAGAAAAAUAGAGAGUUUACACUUAUAGAAAUAUAUCGAUAUAAAUAAAAUUAACUUAAAUGCACUCUCAUAAAAAAACUAUAGUACUAUGUCUUCGUUAUCAAAUUAAAAGGAAUAUAAUAGUGGAGAGAAUUAGUUGCAAUACAUAAUAGCUGGUGAAUGCAAAGUUCUAAAACAUAAUAUAAAUAAUGUUCAUAUAACCUUUUUUGGUUGGAUUUCCUGUUCAUUUCAGAUUCUUGACAAGCCCUCUUUCAAUCACAGCAUCUCUUAUGAGGUUAAAAGAAGUUUCGAAAUCAUCAAGCAGCUGUUGUGGAUCAGGAAUAGCACUUUCGUCAACAGAUACGACGAUGAUCAUCUUAUUGAUAUAGCUUUGGAUAUUGAUCAUCAGUGCCUAGAAUUACAAUUAAUGAAAAAAUGUGUUAUUGAUGUAUUUUAGCCAAUUAUAGUACGUAAGUCAAUUAUCAAAAACGGCUUAUAACACACAGUUACCUAUUGUAAAUGUUAUUUUAACCCGAUAAAGUAAGAAAACUAUACACUAUCAACUCACAUAAAUUGAACUCUUCAACUAAUUAGGUAAAAAAACAGUCCCCUUAUAUCAAUUUCCUCUAUGAAAAAUAUAUAUGGGAAAGGAAAGCGAGAUUAAGAUUUUUAUGUUGUAAACAUUUCCACUUAUCAAACACCCCCUCGGGUCCCCUUUUAAUUAUAGGCUCAAGAACCAAAAUUAAAGAGGCUUUUAGAGGUGAUUUUCCAUUGUUUAGGACUUGGACUCAUGCAAUAUAAUUAAGGUAAAAAUUUAUCUUUACCUAGUAUUUACACCAACAUAUGCAAUUUAAUCUUGAUAGUUAGUACUUCUUCUGUUCACUUUUACUUGUCCACUAUGAAUUUUGCACACCCCUUAAGAAAUAAUAAAUGAACUGCAUAAUUUACCAUGAUACCCAUAUUAAUUGAUACAUAUUUUUAAUGAAUUUGAGAAAAUUAUUUGAAAUGAGUAAUUAAUAUUGUGGGUAUAACUGAAAAAAUAAAUUGUCUUCUCUUAGUAUGCUAAAAGUGACAAAUAAAAGUGAAAAUCUAUUUUUAGAAUACAGAACAAGUAAAAUUGAAUGGACGGAGUUAAAUUAAAGCAAGAAUAUAAAUCACCUAACUAUAUUUAAAUGAUACUAUUAAAUGACUGCACGAAAGACAUAACUUGCUCUCAUUAGCAGAGGCGGAGCUAGGAUUUGAAGUGUGUGAAUUCUAAAUUUUACGAAUCGAACCCCCAUCUUUCCCAACAAACCCACAACCCUUACCGUUGAACCAAGACCCCUUUUGUUACUGGGUUUGACAGUAUAUAUUUAUAUAGAUUUAGUAAAUAUUUCAAUACAAAUACAGUGUUCCGGAAAAAGUCACUGGUCUCGCCCGAACCCGCACCCCCUACUGUAGCCCCGCCCCUGCUCAUUAGUUUGAUGUAAACACGAGCUUAAAUAAAUUUUAUCUACAAUUACCUAUAUCAUGCUUCUUGAUAGUAUUUUGGCGACAUAACAAUAUUUAACUACGUAUUAAUUAAUCUCCAAAUUAGUAGUUAUAAAGAGCAAAUGCCUCAAGAGUAGAGUUGAUCAGUACUUACACUUGGCUGCCCAUAAGAACCUGGAGCCAGAUAAGUAAUGGGAUUGCCACAGAACCCAAUUUCUUCCUGUGGUCCAACCAAGUUGGUGAAGCAUACUGUUGUAUGUGAGAAUGCUCUCACAGUUACUAGUGUAGCUACCUAUCAAAAAUAAAAGUUGCAGCAUUAGGUUAAAUUUAUUUAUAACAAUUAAUAACUUUUCAUAGAAUGAUAUGGUAACUAAAAAGUUACGGUAAUAACCCGUAUAUAUAGCCGAUUAAAUUACACUAAUAGUAUAAAAUUCUUUAUACUUUCAACGUAUACAACCUCAACCAUAUAUUAAAGGAUUAAGCUUAUAUACACUGACGAUAGUUCAAAGGGUUUUUAUGCUAUGAGUGUAAUUUAAUUGAUUGUGAUAAGUUAUAUGCCUUAUUUUUUAAGAAAUUAGUUACACUUAUUAUGUAAAGUUAUAUACAACAAUAACAAUAACAACACAAUAAAAUUUUACUAAUGAGGUCUGGGUGUAAAGUUAUAUAUAGUUAUCUUUUAAUUAACUCGAAAAGAAUUCACUGGAUAGAAGUUCACUAAAUUUUGUUGAAUUUAAAUAUGCAUAUACCUUGGCACCAAAUAUCUUGACUAGUAAUUCAGCUAACAUCAGAGUGAACAAAGCUUCAAAUGUGCGUUUUUUGCGAUCUACUGUUGCCUUUGCUUCUUUAACAUAAUCUAAAGGAUCAUCACGCAAUGCAAUCUUGAAAGGUAAGAGCACAUAACCAAACCAAUUUCCCCAACCUCCCUUUUGUUUUGUGCCCUUCUCCGUCAUAUCAGCUAAAUCCUGUUUCAUUCAUGUCAUUAUACGACUUCACAAUAAUAAUAAUAAUAAUAAUAAUAAUAACAACAACAACAAUAACAGAAUAAAGGUUACUUCAAUUCCUGCAGAGGGUCUUAGGUUUAUAAUAAGACAUGAUCGUAGUCGAAUGUCCUUGGGAAGAUUGUUGUUUCUCUCAGUGGCUCCCUUAUCUUCCUUACCAACGGCUGUAAAUAGUCGGGAAAAUUGUGAAAAUCAGAGACGAAUGUAACGUAUAAUAAACAGGUUUAGUUGAACCCAAUAUUUUUUAUAUGGAACAAAGCAAAUUGGUGAAUGUUACUAAAAUUUUAACAAAUAUUAAAAUUAGAACCUUGCGGAAAUGUUUGGGUUCCAUCAUGAGAACAUAAAAAUUAAAUCAAAAAGUUUAAAUAUUGAAUUUGUGACUAAAUAACAUACCAUAUCUCCUGUUGAGAUAUUUAGAUAAACCAGCUUGUGUUAUUCCCAGGGCAACAUCAUUUAUAGUCUGUGGAGAAAAUGCAUGCAACAAUAUCAGUUAACUUUAACAACAAAUAUAUAUCAACUUUAUUCAUUUAUAAUGUCCAAAUUGCUUACCACAUUCAUAGCAUUUUUCACCAACUUCAAAUCAUCCAAAUUGAUUAUCCUGUGAACUAUUCGUCUCCCGUUAGACGCAGAAUUAGGCGGAGCCGCCAUUGGAGUUUUUGUAUCCUUAAAAAAGAUGACUGUGGCUAUGAACAUCAAAAGAUCCACCAUAGUAUUGAGUAUCAUGUUGAUGAAAAGCCAAAAUUUUCCCAAAUACUGCCAUAACUUGAACGACCUUUCCUUUUCUGAAUAACCUGCGAAAGAGUAGGCCUCCUUUUCUGUUAGGGGUCGUUUGGCAAGGUGUAUAAAUAUAGUACUAAACAUGGUGUAUUAGUAUUGCUGGAUUAGUUAUGGUGAGAUUAUUUUUUAUCCACUAUUUGGUUUGGUAUAUUAAAAAAAACAUGCAUUGCAUAGGGGUAUAUACAUGCUUAUCCAUGUGCUAAAACUAUGAUAUUACUAAUGCCAUGAUUUGCUAUGUAUUAAUUAUACAUAGGAUAAUACCAAAUAGAGUAUAUAACUAAUACAUGUAUUAGUUAAACAUAAGUUGAAAAACACUACCAAAGUAAGGGAUUAAUAAUACCAAAGCUAAUAUAUGUAUUAUUGUUUCCUAAUACAUCUUACCAAACGACCCCUUAGUACUUACGACACUAAUAGUGUAAAAGUAUUUCUUUUGUUAGUGUACAUAUUUUAGAUAAGAAAAUGAAAGUGGCAAAAUCAAUUCAUUUCUUAAUAACUUGCCCAAUUUUUAAACGAGUUCGGUUAUUAUCCGUUUGUUUACUUGAUCCAACAAGUUGAAUCCAAAAUGACCCGUUAAACAUUUGGGUCAAGAUGGAAUAAAUAAGGUAAACCCGACAAGUCAAAAUGCAAUCCAAACCUAAACAUACAAAAUCAAAGGUUUUUUUUUUUUUUGGGAAAAGGCAAAAUAAAAAAGAAUGACAGGUAGAGCAGGUUGAAUUAUAUGACAAGUGAUUUGAUCCAAUUCUUGUUAACUUAUUCAAACUGAAUAAAGUUAUAACUCAUUUGUUGAUUUGACUUGCUAGUUGCUAAGAUAUAAUAACCCAACUCGACCAUAUGUCACUUCAAAAAAAUAUCAUAAUUAAAGUAAUGAAGAAACCUGAAGGAGUAGGCCUCCGUUUCUUGGUUGGAAUAGUAGGAAGCUUGAGAUGAUCAGCAGUUUGGCGAGUACACGCGAGUAAAAGAGAAAUAAGAGAGGUGCCAUCACCAAGAGAAUGGUGAACUCGGAGCAAUGCUACGGACUCUGCAUCGCCAGUUUUGACAUUGAUAAUGUGAAGGUCCCAAAGUGGCUUCGAUUUGUCAAGGUUGGUUUUGCUAAGGUUGUAAAUAUAAUCCUCCACGAACUUUUCUGAUGAUUCGGUCAGUUGACCUUCGUCCACUUCUAGUACUAUAACAUGUUGCUCCAAAUCAACUUUUGUUUGCACCCAUUUCAUGCCUGCUGAAUUAUUUUCAUCCACAACCUGUACAUAAAAUUUGUUACUACUACUUAGUAUACAUUUUAAGUGUGUAUAUGUUUACUUAGCUUGCAGCAUGUGUACACACUUCCUUCUAUGAUCAUCUCGGUAGAUUAAAACAGGUUGAAUUAAUAAAUGAGUUGGAUCAUAGUCUAUCAAAAAAUUUCUUUGGUCAAAAUGGGGAGUCAAUUUAAGAUAAACGAUGCGUCAUAACCUAACUUACUCAACUCAAAAUUAUUUUUAUUUGUUAUUUUGUUCUUUUGUAAUUUAUUUAAUCACCACAUCAAAUUAACUAAACUUUUUCUUUUAUAUGAAAAUAAAAAAAGGCAAAUAUCAUUUUUAGCCCGCGACAAAAAUUAUUUACAUUUCUUAACCGCAAAAGUGUAUAAAAUUUAUAUGUUUUUUGUAUAUAAAAUAUACAAAUGUAUAUACGUACAAAAAAUAUAUAUUUUUCGACUAUUAUUAUGAGCGCGGCUAUGCAGUGUCAUUUUCUCAAUAAAAUAAAAAAAAUUUGCUCAAAACUGGCUAAGCUUUUUCGUUCUAUAACCAACCAGACCCAAAAAAAUUAAAAUUUUAAUAAUUUUUUGUAGAUAAACUAGAUUGAUGAUUGCCCAAAUUGGCCCAACUUUGAAUUGGAUUUACUUUGGUUAUGUAGUAAACACUCCAAAAUAUAGAACCAUAUGUUAGUCCUUUGAGAAAAGGACCUACAUAAGGAUGCAUUACCCAAUUAUUGCGGUACCAAGCACAAGCACUUUAAAUACGACAUAUUUUGGUGUAAAACAGAUACCACUAAUUUUAGCAAUAUAUUGGAAAUAAAAACCAAUUAGUACAAUACGUAAGGACUGGGAAAUGAGGAAGCAUACA